GCUUGAGAAAAAUAAAAUUUUAUUUCCCUAAUUUGACAAUCAUUGUUCAUUUCAUUCAUAAAGGAGAAAAAUUAAGUUCUGUGUGCUGUUUUAAAUAUACUUUAAGGCAAAAAAUUAACACAUAAUAUUAUAUUACAUUAAUAUAUGUCAGGAAGGUAACUUGAACAUAGUUAAAAAACAAACUUGAAAAUAUUUGCUUUGCUGUGCAGGCUUUUCAACAGUUAUUUUUAAAGACUGAGGAAUUAAACACCUGUCACUUUUGCCAGCUGGUGUGGAUGUUAAAAGUCACUGUCACUCUCUUGCCUGCUACUCUAUUUUGCACCUGCUACAAUUUGAGACAUGGGCAUCUCACACAUGGUAAUUUAAUAAGGAUAGGUCCCAUGACAGUGUAUUCAAUAUUAUCCCACGGGGAGUUAAAGCAGUUUUAUAAGGUCUUGAGGGAAAAAUAUUAAAUAUCAAGCUUGAGAACUAAACUUUCAGUGCCUUGUAGACAUCACAUUUUUCUAACUGAAAAGUAUUAAAGGAAUGUCCAAGAUGAGAAAUUUAGCCACAUGUUCCAAAACAAAAAUGAGCCUUUUAGGAUUGGAUUUUUUGUACCAACUGACUUCUCUACAUACUGACUUUUGUAAUUUUUAAAAACACAUUUUAUUUCCUGAUGUAACAACCCAAAUAUGAAUGUGUACUGAGAGCUGAUCCAUUCAGUAU
rnacentral:lncRNA from 1 species